rnacentral:lncRNA from 11 species
UUGCACAACUUCCUGCUUUAUGAAAUGAGGCCUAGUUUGAGAUAGAAAAGACAAGAGUAUGCUCGUCCCUUCCUCCACCCCUGCACCUUGGCAGGAAGCCUCUGCCAGAAAAAGCAGCCAUCUUACAAAACUUGCAACAGGAGACUCAAAAUGGAUCCUUUUACUGUCUUCUUUAGCUGGAAUGUGGGAAGCGUGGCUAGGAGCGCAGCCUUGGGGUCUGGAUGGCGCCCACCUGCCUUCACGUCGAGAAAAGGACGAGAUGGAAAGCCAUUUGGAGGCGCCUUCUAAGGUCUGCUGGGAGGGAAACAAGCCAAGGCUCCCCGGGAUGCGGGAUUUCUUCAGAUCCAGAAGACGGCUGUCGUUCGCCUUGAGAAAAACUCGGAGGACGUUUCUUCUGCAGUUCUCUAAAUAAACGGUUUUUGGCCCCCUCUGAGUCGUGUGGAGACCCUUUCUUCCCUUGCU